GCAUUAAUGGGGUAGUGGUAACCUGGGUCGUUGCCAUUUGAGCAGGGCUCGACCCGCCGGGGGUUCGAUUCCCCCUUAAUGCA
rnacentral:tRNA from 1 species